GACGAACGCUGGCGGCGUGCUUAACACAUGCAAGUCGAACGGAAAGGCCCUGCUUUUGUGGGGUGCUCGAGUGGCGAACGGGUGAGUAACACGUGAGUAACCUGCCCUUGACUUUGGGAUAACUUCAGGAAACUGGGGCUAAUACCGGAUAGGAGCUCCUGCUGCAUGGUGGGGGUUGGAAAGUUUCGGCGGUUGGGGAUGGACUCGCGGCUUAUCAGCUUGUUGGUGGGGUAGUGGCUUACCAAGGCUUUGACGGGUAGCCGGCCUGAGAGGGUGGCCGGGCACAUUGGGACUGAGAGACGGCCCAGACUCCUACGGGAGGCAGCAGUGGGAAAUAUUGCAGAAUGGCGGGAAGCCUGAGGCAGCAACGCCGCGUGCGGGAUGACGGGCUUCGGGGUGUAAACCGAUGUCGCCUGUGACGAAGCGUGCGUGACGGUAAUGGGUAAAGAAGCACCGGCUAACUACGUG
rnacentral:rRNA from 1 species